AUACGGAGGGUGCGAGCGUUAAUCGGAAUUACUGGGCGUAAAGGGUGCGUAGGCGGCUUGAUAAGUCGGAUGUGAAAGCCCCGGGCUUAACCUGGGAAUUGCAUUCGAUACUGUCAGGCUAGAGUAUGUCAGAGGUUGGCGGAAUUCCUGGUGUAGCGGUGAAAUGCGUAGAUAUCAGGAGGAACACCAGUGGCGAAGGCGGCUAACUGGGGCAAUACUGACGCUGAGGCACGAAAGCGUGGGGAGCAAACAGGAUUAGAUACCCUUGUAGUCC
rnacentral:rRNA from 1 species